rnacentral:rRNA from 1 species
GAUGAACGCUGGCGGCGUGCCUAAUACAUGCAAGUCGAGCGAACAGAUGAGGAGCUUGCUCCUCUGACGUUAGCGGCGGACGGGUGAGUAACACGUGGAUAACCUACCUAUAAGACUGGGAUAACUUCGGGAAACCGGAGCUAAUACCGGAUAAUAUAUUUAACCGCAUGGUUCAAUAGUGAAAGACGGUUUUGCUGUCACUUAUAGAUGUAUCCGCGCCGCAUUAGCUAGUUGGUAAGGUAACGGCUUACCAAGGCAACGAUGCGUAGCCGACCUGAGAGGGUGAUCGGCCACACUGGAACUGAGACACGGUCCAGACUCCUACGGGAGGCAGCAGUAGGGAAUCUUCCGCAAUGGGCGAAAGCCUGACGGAGCAACGCCGCGUGAGUGAUGAAGGUCUUCGGAUCGUAAAACUCUGUUAUUAGGGAAGAACAAAUGUGUAAGUAACUAUGCACGUCUUGACGGUACCUAAUCAGAAAGCCACGGCUAACUACGUG